rnacentral:tRNA from 1 species
GGGGAUGUAGCUCAGUGGUAGAACACUUGCCUAGCAUGCACAAGGCCCUGGGUUCCAUCCCCAGCAUGGUCA